CCAGAGAUGGCGGGCUUCGGCCCCCGUCCCCAACCCUUUGUUGACAAAACCACUUUGCCUCGGGGGUGGAGCGUCCGUCGCCGCCCCCGGAGGACCAACCAACUCUGUCUCUGUACGUCGGAGUCUUUGAUGAAUGAAUGA
rnacentral:misc_RNA from 1 species